GUGGGGAAUCUUCCGCAAUGGACGAAAGUCUGACGGAGCAACGCCGCGUGAGUGAUGAAGGUCUUCGGGUCGUAAAGCUCUGUCAUCAGGGACGAACGGCCGGUGGAGUGGAAAGCCACCGGAUUGACGGUACCUGAGAAGGAAGCCACGGCUAACUACGUGCCAGCAGCCGCGGUAAUACGUAGGUGGCAAGCGUUGUCCGGAAUUAUUGGGCGUAAAGCGCGCGCAGGUGGGAUCUUAAGUCCAUUUUUAAAGUUCGGAGCUCAACUCCGUGAUGGGAUGGAAACUGGGAUUCUUGAGUACCGGAGAGGAAAGCGGAAUUCCCCGUGUAGCGGUGAAAUGCGUAGAUAUGGAGAGGAACACCAGUGGCGAAGGCGGCUUUCUGGACGGUGUCUGACACUGAGGCGCGAAAGCCAGGGGAGCGAACGGGAUUAGAUACCCGUGUAGUCC
rnacentral:rRNA from 1 species